CCUACGGGUGGCAGCAGUGAGGAAUAUUGGUCAAUGGGCGGAAGCCUGAACCAGCCAAGUAGCGUGCAGGAUGACGGCUCUACGGGUUGUAAACUGCUUUUAUAUGGGAAUAACGCGACUUACGUGUUGGUCUUUGUAUGUACCGUAUGAAUAAGCAUCGGCUAACUCCGUGCCAGCAGCCGCGGUAAUACGGAAGGUCCGGGCGUUAUCCGGAUUUGUUGGGUUUAAAGGGUGCGUAGGUCGUUAAUUAAGCGAGCGGUGAAAGGUUGUGGCUCAACCAUGGCCUUGCCGCUGAAACGGGUUGACGUGAGUAUAUUUGAGGGAGGCGGAAGGCGUGGUGUAGAGGUGAAAUGCAGAGAUAGCAAGCAGAACUCCGAUUGAGAAGGCAGCUUACUAAACUAGAAAUGACACUGAAGCACGAAAGCGUGGGGAUCAAACAGGAUGAGAUACGCUUGUAGUC
rnacentral:rRNA from 1 species